AGACCCGAAACCCGGUGAUCUAGCCAUGGGCAGGUUGAAGGUUGGGUAACACUAACUGGAGGACCGAACCGACUAAUGUUGAAAAAUUAGCGGAUGACCUGUGGCUGGGGGUGAAAGGCCAAUCAAACCGGGAGAUAGCUGGUUCUCCCCGAAAGCUAUUUAGGUAGCGCCUCGUGAAUUCAUCUCCGGGGGUAGAGCACUGUUUCGGCUAGGGGGCCAUCCCGGCUUACCAACCCGAUGCAAACUGCGAAUACCGGAGAAUGUUAUCACGGGAGACACACGGCGGGUGCUAACGUCCGUCGUGAAGAGGGAAACAACCCAGACCGCCAGCUAAGGUCCCAAAGUCAUGGUUAAGUGGGAAACGAUGUGGGAAGGCCCAGACAGCCAGGAUGUUGGCUUAGAAGCAGCCAUCAUUUAAAGAAAGCGUAAUAGCUCACUGGUCGAGUCGGCCUGCGCGGAAGAUGUAACGGGGCUAAACCAUGCACCGAAGCUGCGGCAGCGACACUGUGUGUUGUUGGGUAGGGGAGCGUUCUGUAAGCCUGCGAAGGUGGCCUGUGAGGGUUGCUGGAGGUAUCAGAAGUGCGAAUGCUGACAUAAGUAACGAUAAAGCGGGUGAAAAGCCCGCUCGCCGGAAGACCAAGGGUUCCUGUCCAACGUUAAUCGGGGCAGGGUGAGUCGACCCCUAAGGCGAGGCCGAAAGGCGUAGUCGAUGGGAAACGGGUUAAUAUUCCCGUACUUGGUGUUACUGCGAAGGGGGGACGGAGAAGGCUAUGUUGGCCGGGCGACGGUUGUCCCGGUUUAAGCGUGUAGGUGUGUGUUCCAGGUAAAUCCGGUUCACUUUAACACUGAGGCGUGACGACGAGGCACUACGGUGCUGAAGCAACAAAUGCCCUGCUUCCAGGAAAAGCCUCUAAGCAUCAGGUAACAUCAAAUCGUACCCCAAACCGACACAGGUGGUCAGGUAGAGAAUACCAAGGCGCUUGAGAGAACUCGGGUGAAGGAACUAGGCAAAAUGGUGCCGUAACUUCGGGAGAAGGCACGCUGACACGUAGGUGAAGUGAUUUACUCAUGGAGCUGAAGUCAGUCGAAGAUACCAGCUGGCUGCAACUGUUUAUUAAAAACACAGCACUGUGCAAACACGAAAGUGGACGUAUACGGUGUGACGCCUGCCCGGUGCCGGAAGGUUAAUUGAUGGGGUCAGCGCAAGCGAAGCUCCUGAUCGAAGCCCCGGUAAACGGCGGCCGUAACUAUAACGGUCCUAAGGUAGCGAAAUUCCUUGUCGGGUAAGUUCCGACCUGCACGAAUGGCGUAAUGAUGGCCAGGCUGUCUCCACCCGAGACUCAGUGAAAUUGAACUCGCUGUGAAGAUGCAGUGUACCCGCGGCAAGACGGAAAGACCCCGUGAACCUUUACUAUAGCUUGACACUGAACAUUGAGCCUUGAUGUGUAGGAUAGGUGGGAGGCUUUGAAGUGUGGACGCCAGUCUGCAUGGAGCCGACCUUGAAAUACCACCCUUUAAUGUUUGAUGUUCUAACGUGGACCCGUUACCCGGGUUGCGGACAGUGUCUGGUGGGUAGUUUGACUGGGGCGGUCUCCUCCUAAAGAGUAACGGAGGAGCACGAAGGUUGGCUAAUCCUGGUCGGACAUCAGGAGGUUAGUGCAAUGGCAUAAGCCAGCUUGACUGCGAGCGUGACGGCGCGAGCAGGUGCGAAAGCAGGUCAUAGUGAUCCGGUGGUUCUGAAUGGAAGGGCCAUCGCUCAACGGAUAAAAGGUACUCCGGGGAUAACAGGCUGAUACCGCCCAAGAGUUCAUAUCGACGGCGGUGUUUGGCACCUCGAUGUCGGCUCAUCACAUCCUGGGGCUGAAGUAGGUCCCAAGGGUAUGGCUGUUCGCCAUUUAAAGUGGUACGCGAGCUGGGUUUAGAACGUCGUGAGACAGUUCGGUCCCUAUCUGCCGUGGGCGCUGGAGAACUGAGGGGGGCUGCUCCUAGUACGAGAGGACCGGAGUGGACGCAUCACUGGUGUUCGGGUUGUCAUGCCAAUGGCACUGCCCGGUAGCUAAAUGCGGAAGAGAUAAGUGCUGAAAGCAUCUAAGCACGAAACUUGCCCCGAGAUGAGUUCUCCCUGAGACUUAAAGUCUCCUGAAGGAACGUUGAAGACGACGACGUUGAUAGGCCGGGUGUGUAAGCGCAGCGAUGCGUUGAGCUAACCGGUACUAAUGAACCGUGAGGCUUAACCUUACAACGCCGAAG
rnacentral:rRNA from 2 species